rnacentral:rRNA from 1 species
AUUUGAACGCUGGCGGCAGGCUUAACACAUGCAAGUCGAACGGUAGCAGGAGAAAGGUUGCUUUCUUGCUGACGAGUGGCGGACGGGUGAGUAAUGCUUGGGAAUCUGGCUUAUGGAGGGGGAUAACGACGGGAAACUGUCGCUAAUACCGCGUAUUAUCGGAAGAUGAAAGUGCGGGACUGAGAGGCCGCAUGCCAUAGGAUGAGCCCAAGUGGGAUUAGGUAGUUGGUGGGGUAAAGGCCUACCAAGCCUGCGAUCUCUAGCUGGUCUGAGAGGAUGACCAGCCACACUGGAACUGAGACACGGUCCAGACUCCUACGGGAGGCAGCAGUGGGGAAUAUUGCGCAAUGGGGGGAACCCUGACGCAGCCAUGCCGCGUGAAUGAAGAAGGCCUUAGGGUUGUAAAGUUCUUUCGGUAUUGAGGAAGGUUGAUGUGUUAAUAGCACAUCAAAUUGACGUUAAAUACAGAAGAAGCACCGGCUAACUCCGUGCCAGCAGCCGCGGUAAUACGGAGGGUGCGAGCGUUAAUCGGAAUAACUGGGCGUAAAGGGCACGCAGGCGGUUAUUUAAGUGAGGUGUGAAAGCCCCGGGCUUAACCUGGGAAUUGCAUUUCAGACUGGGUAACUAGAGUACUUUAGGGAGGGGUAGAAUUCCACGUGUAGCGGUGAAAUGCGUAGAGAUGUGGAGGAAUACCGAAGGCGAAGGCUGCCCCUUGGGAAUGUACUGACGCUCAUGUGCGAAAGCGUGGGGAGCAUACAGG